rnacentral:rRNA from 1 species
AUUGAACGCUGGCGGCAAGCCUCAUACAUGCAAGUCGAACGAGAAAGCAUCUUCGGAUGUGAGUAAAGUGGCGGACGGGUGAGUAAUACAUAGGAAUCUACCCAAUGGCGGGGGACAGCUCGAGGAAACUCGAAUUAAUACCGCAUAAUCUCUACGGAGUAAAGAGGGCUUCGGCUCUCACCAUCGGAUGAGCCUAUGCAAGAUUAGCUUGUUGGUAAGGUAAUGGCUUACCAAGGCUACGAUCUUUAGCUGGUUUGAGAGGAUGACCAGCCACAUCGGGACUGAGACACGGCCCGGACUUCUACGGAAGGCAGCAGUAGGGAAUAUUGGACAAUGAGCGAAAGCUUGAUCCAGCUAUGCCGCGUGUGCGAUGACGGCCCUCGGGUUGUAAAGCACUUUAGGUAACGAGGAAAAGUUAAGUGUUAAUACCACUUAACCAUGACGUUAAUUACAGAAUAAGCACCGGCUAAAUCCGUGCCAGCCGCCGCCGUAACAC